ensembl:misc_RNA 7SK 7SK RNA
GAACGAUUUGGAGAUGAUCUGGCCGCAGCACUGGUUGCCAGGGUUGAUUCAACAGACCUGCUGGCUGGCGGGUGCCCUCUUCCUCUC